CAGUCGCCGCGGUCAUACGUAGGACCCAAGCGUUAUCCGGAGUGACUGGGCGUAAAGAGUUGCGUAGGUGGUUUGUUAAGCGAAUAGUGAAAUCUGGCGGCUCAACCGUACAGACUAUUAUUCGAACUGGCAAACUCGAGAAUGGUAGAGGUAACUGGAAUUUCUGAAGUAGGGGUAAUAUCCGUAGAUAUCAGAAGGAACACCAAUGGCGUAGGCAGGUUACUGGACCAUUUCUGACACUGAGGCACGAAAGCGUGGGGAGCGAACCGGAUUAGAUACCCCCGUAGUCCCUGUCUCUUAU
rnacentral:rRNA from 1 species